UACAGAGGUCUCAAGCGUUGUUCGGAUUCAUUGGGCGUAAAGGGUGCGUAGGCGGCGCGGUAAGUCGGGUGUGAAAUCUCGGAGCUUAACUCCGAAACUGCAUUCGAUACUGCCGUGCUUGAGGACUGGAGAGGAGACUGGAAUUUACGGUGUAGCGGUGAAAUGCGUAGAUAUCGUAAGGAAGACCAGUGGCGAAGGCGGGUCUCUGGACAGUUCCUGACGCUGAGGCACGAAAGCGUGGGGAGCAAAAGGG
rnacentral:rRNA from 1 species